rnacentral:rRNA from 1 species
AUUGAACGCUGGCGGCAGGCCUAACACAUGCAAGUCGAACGGUAACAGGAAGAAGCUUGCUUCUUUGCUGACGAGUGGCGGACGGGUGAGUAAUGUCUGGGAAACUGCCUGAUGGAGGGGGAUAACUACUGGAAACGGUAGCUAAUACCGCAUAACUUCUCAAGACCAAAGAGGGGGACCUUCGGGCCUCUUGCCAUCGGAUGUGCCCAGAUGGGACUAGCUAGUAGGUGGGGUAACGGCUCACCUAUGCGACGAUCCCUAGCUCGUCUGAGAGGAUGGCGAGCCACCCUGGAACUGGGGCACGGUCCCGACUCCUACGGGAGGCCGCAGUGGGGAAUAUUGCACAAUGGGGGCAAGCCUGAUGCAGCCAUGCCGCGUGUAUUGAGGAGGCCUUCCGGUUGUAAAGUACUUUCAGCGGGGAGGAAGGGAGUAAAGUUGAUACCUUUACUGAUUGACGUGUCCCUCAGAAGAAGCACCGGCUAACUCCGUG